CUGAAGACAACGAACUCGACAAGACGUCGAAAUCGAAGAAAACGCGAUUUUAAACAAAACGGUUAAGAAACGGUGGGUAAAAAAAAUAAAAAGUGGCUAAAAUAAAAAAGAUCAUAACAAUAAAACGUGAGUGAGAGUGUAUAAAUAUUUCUAAACGUUUUUUAAACUGCAACAAAGGAUUUUUUGCUGAAAGCAAAGAAAUAAAAUCCCAAAAGAAUUUUGGAACAAGAAAAUUAGUCAUUUCCCUUAAGAGCCAAUAACUAUUUUUUGUUUGGAAUUUUUAAUAUAUUAUUUUUCAACCAUACCAACAACAGCAACAAAAUUGGUAAUUUUACGAAUUCGCUUUUUUUUACCAGUUAAGCAGUAACUUGGCUGAUUUGGCCGUUUGUUUGUGAUCGUGUGUUGUGUUUGUGUGUAACCGUGGGAUAUAGAGAGAGAUGUCUAACAUAAGACAUCGCCCUCUGGCCCCACCGGGUACGGGCGACAGUGAUGACAACUUUACAGAUGAUGAGAGUACACCAUUGACACAAGAUAUUUAUGG